UCGGGGGGUAGAUCUAUCUCAUGACGAGUGGUGGAAUACUUUGACUCAUGAGAGAGAAGCUGAGGCGAAGGCGUCUACCUAGAGGGUUUCUGUCGAUCAAGGGCGAGAGUAGGAGUAUCCAACAGGAUUAGAGACCCUGGUAGUUCCUACCUUAAACGAUGCCGACAGGAGUUUGUCAUUUGUUAAUGGCAGAAUCUUUGGAGAAAUCAUAGUUCUUGGGCUCUGGGGGAACUACGACCGCAAGGCUGAAACUUGAAGGAAUUGACGGAAGGGCACACCAGGGGUGGAGCCUGUGGCUUAAUUUGAAUCAACACGGGGAAACUUACCAGGACCAGAUGUUUUUUAUGACUGACAGGCUUCGGGUCUUUCAGGAUAUUGUUUUUGGUGGUGCAUGGCCGUUGGUGGUGCGUGGGUUGACCUGUCUAGCGUUGAUUCAGCUAACGAGCGAGAUUAUCGCCAAUUAUUUACUUUGCCGAAGUCCUUCGGUUAAAGUUCUAAUUGGGACUCCCUGCGAUUUUAGCAGGUGGAAGAGGGUAGCAAUAACAGGUCCGUGAUGCCCUUUAGAUGCUCUGGGCUGCACGCGUGCUACAAUGUUAGGAUCAAUAGGACUGCGAGCCUGAGAGGGUGCGCUACUCUUAUAAUCCCUAACGUAGUUGGGAUUGACGUUUGUAAUCAGCGUCAUGAACCAGGAAUCCCUUGUAAAUGUGUGUCAACAACGCACGUUGAAUACGUCCCUGCCCUUUGUACACACCGCCCGUCGCUCCUACCGAUUGGAUGACUCGGUGAAAUCACCGGAUGCUUACGAGCAGAAAGUGAUUAAAUCACGUUAUCUAGAGGAAGGAGAAGUCGUAACAAGGUAACGGUAGGUGAACCUGCCGUUGGAUCAGUU
rnacentral:ncRNA from 1 species